AGGCGGGGACGGAGCGGGUGCCUCAGUGUCCUUCCCCUCCCCUCUCCUGGCCUCGCCGUCCUCUCCCCGCAGCCGGACCGGAACUAUGUGAUCCCGGAAGUUCCGGGGCCUUUGCUGUGUGGGAUAAACAGUAAUGGCGGAGGCUGCAGCUCCCGGAACAACAGCCACAACAUCAGAAGCAGGAGCGGCAGCGGCGGCGGCGACAGCAGCCUCCCCCACCCCGAUCCCCACAGUCACCGCCCAGUCCCUGGGGGCGGGCGGAGGGGGCGGCGGCAGCGGCGGCAGCGGCUGCGGCUGGACUAAACAGGUCACCUGCAGGUAUUUUAUGCAUGGGGUUUGUAAGGAAGGAGACAACUGUCGCUACUCGCAUGACCUCUCUGACAGUCCGUAUAGUGUAGUGUGCAAGUAUUUUCAGCAAGGGUACUGUAUUUAUGGAGACCGCUGCAGAUAUGAACAUAGCAAGCCAUUGAAACAGGAAGAAGCAACUGCUACAGAGCUAACUACAAAGUCAUCCCUUGCUGCUUCCUCAAGUCUCUCAUCGAUAGUUGGACCACUUGUUGAAAUGAAUACAGGCGAAGCUGAGUCAAGAAAUUCAAACUUUGCAACUGUAGGAGCAGGUUCAGAGGACUGGGUGAAUGCUAUUGAGUUUGUUCCUGGGCAACCCUACUGUGGCGGUACUGCACCUUCCUGCACUGAAGCACCCCUGCAGGGCUCAGUGACCAAGGAAGAAUCAGAGAAAGAGCAAACCACCGUGGAGACAAAGAAGCAGCUGUGCCCCUAUGCUGCAGUGGGAGAGUGCCGAUACGGGGAGAACUGUGUGUAUCUCCACGGAGAUUCUUGUGACAUGUGUGGGCUGCAGGUCCUGCAUCCGAUGGAUGCUGCCCAGAGAUCACAGCAUAUCAAAUCGUGCAUUGAGGCCCAUGAGAAGGACAUGGAGCUCUCAUUUGCUGUGCAGCGCAGCAAGGACAUGGUGUGUGGGAUCUGCAUGGAGGUGGUCUAUGAGAAAGCCAACCCCAGCGAGCGCCGCUUUGGGAUCCUCUCCAACUGCAACCACACCUACUGUCUCAAGUGCAUUCGCAAGUGGAGGAGUGCUAAGCAAUUUGAGAGCAAGAUCAUAAAGUCCUGCCCAGAAUGCCGGAUCACAUCUAACUUUGUCAUUCCAAGUGAGUACUGGGUGGAGGAGAAAGAAGAGAAGCAGAAACUCAUUCUGAAAUACAAGGAGGCAAUGAGCAACAAGGCGUGCAGGUAUUUUGAUGAAGGACGUGGGAGCUGCCCAUUUGGAGGGAACUGUUUUUACAAGCAUGCGUAUCCUGAUGGCCGUAGAGAGGAGCCACAGAGACAGAAAAUGGGAACAUCAAGCAGAUACCGGGCCCAACGAAGGAACCACUUCUGGGAACUCAUUGAGGAAAGAGAGAACAGCAACCCCUUUGACAACAUGAAGAAGAGGUUGUCACCUUUGAGCUGGGCGAGAUGUUGCUUAUACUUUUGGCUGCAGGUGGGGACGACGAACUAACAGACUCUGAAGAUGAGUGGGACUUGUUUCAUGAUGAGCUGGAAGAUUUUUAUGACUUGGAUCUAUAGCAACCUUGCGUGGCGUGUGAACUGGUCUGCUGACCCCAGACAGCAGCUGUGCCCUGUG